GGGCCUAUAGCUCAGUUUGGUAGAGCUACCGGCUCAUAACCGGUUGGUCGGGGGUUCGAUUCCCUCUGGGCCCACCA
rnacentral:tRNA from 1 species